rnacentral:misc_RNA from 1 species
UGCAGUUGAUUUCUAUAAUCGCUACAAAGAAGAUAUACAAAAUGUAAAGGCUAUGGGUUUCGAUGCUUUCCGAUUAUCCAUUUCAUGGCCCAGAGUUAUACCUAGUGGAAGGAGACGUGAAGGAGUGAACAAGGAAGGGAUUAAAUUUUAUAAUGAUGUUAUCAAUGAAAUUAAAAACAAUGGCCUAAAACCUUUUGUUACUCUUUUUCAUUGGGACACUCCUCAAGGCCUAGAGGACAAAUAUGGUGGCUUUUUAAGCAGUAAUAUCGUGAAUGAUUUUCGUGAUUAUGCGGAUCUUCUCUU